UACGGGGGGGGCAAGCGUUGUUCGGGAUUACUGGGCGUAAAGGGCUUGUAGGUGGCCAACUAAGUCAGACGUGAAAUCCCCCGGCUUAACCGGGGAACUGCAUCCGAUACUGGAUGGCUUGAGUUCGGGAGAGGGAUGCGGAAUUCCAGGUGUAGCGGUGAAAUGCGUAGAUAUCUGGAGGAACACCGGUGGCGAAGGCGGCAUCCUGGACCGACACUGACGCUGAGGAGCGAAAGCCAGGGGAGCAAACGGG
rnacentral:rRNA from 1 species